AUUUUCAGUUUAGCCUGCCAUAAAAUAUUCUCACACGCUUCCGAAACUACUCCCAAAUGGCUGGAAAAGAGGGUCCGCGGGUGGAAAUCAACUCGGUGAUGCCGUGCCUUGUCAACUGGUUUGAAAAAUAGAUUUUUACGGGCUUAGUUGCGCAUCGUCAGCCACGCUGACUACAGAGGCGGCGUGGCAAGGAAUGAAAAGGAGCGGCAUGGGCCACUACAGGAUCUAUGGCAUCUAUAGGAACAACAGCACCAGCACGAGCACCAGCAGCAUAUUCUUCAUGGCAUCCCAUGGCCACCGGCAUCCGCAAUUUUCCCGCACUCCGCAUGCCAAAUCCCGCGGGGCGUUCGCUUUUGUGUCUCACUCGCGUCAUUUAAAAGACAUUUGCCUGUCAUUUUAUGCCGUGUUUGGCACAGUUUUCGCCCCCACCUCUUACAAUGCACUGCGGGAUAAUGUUGUACAGUAUUUACCCAAGUUGACGAUUUUAAUUAAAACUUUUUAUAUCUUUGCCAC
ensembl:ncRNA lncRNA:CR43625 long non-coding RNA:CR43625